UACGAAGGGGGCUAGCGUUGCUCGGAAUCACUGGGCGUAAAGGGUGCGUAGGCGGGUCUUUAAGUCGGGGGUGAAAUCCUGGAGCUCAACUCCAGAACUGCCUUUGAUACUGAGGAUCUUGAGUUCGGGAGAGGUGAGUGGAACUGCGAGUGUAGAGGUGAAAUUCGUAGAUAUUCGGAAGAACACCAGUGGCGAAGGCGGCUCACUGGACCGGUAUUGACGCUGAGGUGCGAAAGCGUGGGGAGCAAACAGG
rnacentral:rRNA from 1 species